rnacentral:rRNA from 1 species
AACGAACGCUGGCGGCGUGCCUUAAGCAUGCAAGUCGAACGAAAAAUAUCUUUUGAUAUUUUUAGUGGCAAACGGGUGAGUAACACGUAGCUUAGUCACCCCAAAGUGAGGGAUAGCCAUGGGAAACCAUGGGUAAUAUCUCAUAAUACCUACGGGUUAAAGUUUAAUACGCUUUGGGAGAUGGCUGCGGUUCAUCAGGUAGUUGGUGGGGUAAUGGCCUACCAAGCCUAUGACGAAUAUCCGGCCUGAGAGGGUGAUCGGACACAUUGGAACUGAGAUACGGUCCAGACUCCUAUGGGAGGCAGCAGCUAGGAAUUUUCCGCAAUGGACGAAAGUCUGACCGAGCAACGCCGCGUGAGUGAAGAAGGUUUUCGGAUCGUAAAACUCUGUUGUUAGAGAAGAACAGGAGAAGUAGUAACUGGCUUCUUUUUGACGGUAUCUAACCAGAAAGCCACGGCUAACUACGUGCCAGCCGCCGCCGUAAAAC